UACGGGGGGGGCAAGCGUUGUUCGGAAUUACUGGGCGUAAAGGGCUCGUAGGCGGCCAACUAAGUCAGACGUGAAAUCCCUCGGCUUAACCGGGGGAACUGCGUCUGAUACUGGAUGGCUUGAGUUUGGGAGAGGGAUGCGGAAUUCCAGGUGUAGCGGUGAAAUGCGUAGAUAUCUGGAGGAACACCGGUGGCGAAGGCGGCAUCCUGGACCAACACUGACGCUGAGUGAGCGAAAGCCAGGGGAGCAAACGGG
rnacentral:rRNA from 1 species